AUCCCAUGUUGAGGAAACUUCCUCAACAAUUCCUUAUACCUUUUCCAUGCCUAGUACAAAGUUUCAGACUGCUUAUGUUAGAAAGAAGAUAUGUCAUUUCUGAGCUU